rnacentral:lncRNA from 1 species
CAGACGCGCAGACCUGCGGACAGACAGGAGACAGGGCCGCCAUUUCUUUCCAGGCCUCGGGCACCAAACCAGGAUGCUUCCAAACUGCGUUUGCCUCUUUGUGCCCCUUCCCCCGGAGGCAACCUGUCUCAGCGCCACCCCGUUUUUGCGGAGUAAACACCGAUGACUCCCAGAUCUACAGCUCCAGGCUGUUCCCUUCUCCGUGUCUCAUAUCAGCUUUGCCAACUGUUUAUUGGACAUCACCGCCUGAGUAUCCCUGAGGGACACGAUUAUCCUGUUUGGAGUGUAUUGAACUUCUUGGAUACAUCGAUUAGUGUCUUUCCUCAAGUUUGAGUAAUUUGCAGUCAUUUUUCCUUUGAAAAUUCUUUCUUCUCUAUUCUGUUUCUCUCCUUGUUGAACCCCCAUCAUGCAUAGGUGUGCUCUGUUCAUUUUUCACAUUACUUUUAUUUUUCUGCUCCUCGGACUGAAUAAUCUCAAUUGACCUAUUUUAAGUUCACUGAUUCUUUUGCCUGCCCAAACCUACUGUUGUACCCCUCUAGUGACUUUUAGUUAUUGUACUUUUCAAAUAAAGA